rnacentral:lncRNA from 1 species
CACGCCGCCGCGCGGCCCCACGGGGGUCACGGGCAGGAACGGAGUCGCGUCGGGCCUGCGGCGGCCACGGCGGAUCUCAAAGAUGAUGGCGCCGAUGACCACGGUGAGCAACAUGGCGGCCACGAUGGACCCUAUGAUGCCGCCCACGAUCCAGCCCCAAGGGACCGAUCGCCGCGGCGGCGCAGACACGACGCCCGCGGCGACCUCGGGUGGCGCUGCGACGACGGCGGUGGUCUGUUUGACGGGUACGGACAUGGCAGGCGUUGGCUGUUUUUUUUUCCUGCGCCUCUCUCUUUCUUUUCUCCCCUUCCCUUUUGCCCCGUCCGGGUCGCAGUGGGCGAGGGCCGACGGACCCAUUCACCGCACGCCAGGCCGCCUCGACCGCACUCCACGUGGCGUCGCCGAUCCCCUUCCUCGUCCCCCACAAGCGCCGGUCAGCGGCGACGACAACAGUGGCAAACAGUGUCUUUUGUCUGACCCCUCGCCAUCUUUGAUUCCCCCUUUUUUUGUUUUUCCUCUAUUUGUCUUUUGCCUUUUUUUUUUACCACACGCAGUCGGCUGCCGGUCGGUGUUGUGCCAACAGGACCCGUCCCCCAUUUUUUUUUGCGAAAAUGCAUGCCCACAAC